GAGGCUUACCAUGCAGUCGACGGCAGCACAGGGUAGCUUGCUAUCCGGGUGGCGAGUGGCGGACGGGUGAGUAACGCGUAGGAAUCUACCUUUUCGUGGGGGAUAACCCGGGGAAACUCGGGCUAAUACCGCAUACGCCCUACGGGGGAAAGCGGGGGACCUUCGGGCCUCGCGCGGAACGAUGAGCCUGCGUCCUAUCAGGUAGUUGGUGAGGUAAUGGCUCACCAAGCCGACGACGGGUAGCUGGUCUGAGAGGACGACCAGCCACACUGGGACCGAGACACGGCCCAGACUCCUACGGGAGGCAGCAGUGGGGAAUAUUGGACAAUGGGGGAAACCCUGAUCCAGCAAUACCGCGUGUGUGAAGAAGGCCUUCGGGUUGUAAAGCACUUUUAGCAGGAAAGAAAGACUAUGCGCUAAUACCGCACGGUUUUGAUGUUACUUGCAGAAAAAGCACCGGCUAACUCCGUGCCAGCAGCCGCGGUAAUACAGAGGGUGCAAGCGUUAAUCGGAAUUACUGGGCGUAAAGCGCGCGUAGGCGGCUUGUUAAGUCGGAUGUGAAAUCCCAGGGCUUAACCUUGGAACUGCAUUUGUGACUGCAUAGCUAGAGUACGGUAGAGGGGGAUGGAAUUCCGCGUGUAGCAGUGAAAUGCGUAGAUAUGCGGAGGAACACCGAUGGCGAAGGCAAUCCCCUGGGCCUGUACUGACGCUCAUGUACGAAAGCGUGGGGAGCAAACAGGAUUAGAUACCCUGGUAGUCCACGCCGUAAACGAUGUCGACUAGCCGUUGGGAAACUUGAUUUCCCAGUGGCGCAGCUAACGCGAUAAGUCGACCGCCUGGGGAGUACGGCCGCAAGGUUAAAACUCAAAUGAAUUGACGGGGACCCGCACAAGCGGUGGAGUAUGUGGUUUAUUCGACGCAACGCGAAGAACCUUACCUGCUCUUGAC
rnacentral:rRNA from 1 species